UUGACAACAUAUUACAAGCACUACAAGUAAACUAUACAUUUGAAGGGAAUAUAUGCGUCAACAGUUAAUCAGAUAAUAUGUACUACAUAGAUUCAUUUCUUAGCAAGCAGUUUUUUUGGCAGCUUAUCCAAAGGAGUAGUUUUUAGAAGAAAAAGCCGGGCAGCACGCUCUGAAAAAGUGCCCCCACACUUGAGCCCACGUGCUUGUAGUUCAUUCUUCAGCCUUUCCAUGCCGAGAACCUCCAUCUCUGCUGCUGAAUUGAAGUCAUCAAAAUUCAGUGGCUUCUCCAAAUCAGUGUCCCUAACAUUUACUGCAACAGUUUCUCCAUUAGAUGCAGAUUUGAAGUCAGAGACGGCUUCAACAGUAACUGGCCUGCUUUCAAUACCAUCCCCACUUGCUGGAGUUGUAACAUAGGGCUGAGAGUCAGAUUCAACAUUAUCCAGCUUUUUAUCCUUAACUGCAUCAAUUCCAGAACUCUCAGCAGUCCCCAAGCAAGUUACACCACAACUCUGUAGUACUGCUUCCUCAUGAAUCUCUGGUUCAGCCAAUCCAUCGUUUUCACUGGGAACAUUUUCUUCUUGAGGGAUAGAUUUCAAAUUUUGCUCCACAGUAGCAUCUUUUUCUCCCUCAGAACCACUCUCACAUAAGACACCACCAGAGAAUUCUCCAUCUUGCUUACCACCAGUAACUGACUCUGAACCCCCUUCAGCUUCGUUAUUCCAAUUUGAAUGAUUUUCAUUAUUUAGAACAAUAGAUUUCUCAUUUUCCUCAUCACUGCUAUCCUCAUCCGUAUCUUCACUGUCACUUUCACCCAAUUUUCUCUUCCCCAUCCAAAUCUUCAACCUAUUGGCCUCCAAUCCCUCAUUUGGCAUCUUCCGCUUCCGCUUUCCGUUCCCAUUCCCACACGCCUCUCUAACGGCCUCCUCAACCGCCGCUGCACACUUGGCGGAUUCUUUCCUA
rnacentral:misc_RNA from 1 species